CAUGGCUCAGGACGAACGCUGGCGGCGUGCUUAACACAUGCAAGUCGAACGCUGAAGCCUAGCUUUUGUUGGGUGGAUGAGUGGCGAACGGGUGAGUAACACGUGAGUAACCUGCCCCCUUCUUUGGGAUAACGCCCGGAAACGGGUGCUAAUACUGGAUAUUCACUGAUCUUCGCAUGGGGGUUGGUGGAAAGGUUUUUUCUGGUGGGGGAUGGGCUCGCGGCCUAUCAGCUUGUUGGUGGGGUGAUGGCCUACCAAGGCUUUGACGGGUAGCCGGCCUGAGAGGGUGACCGGUCACAUUGGGACUGAGAUACGGCCCAGACUCCUACGG
rnacentral:rRNA from 1 species